CUGGGCUGCACUCCUGGAAGCGCUGCCUGGGGCUUGUCCUCGGCUCCCUCUUGGUCCUCGCCACCUGCUCUCCACCCCUCCAUUCGUCAUCUGAGUGCCCUGCAGGGGCCUCCAUCCAGUGUGAAUUAUGAGUCAGAUCUGGACCUGCCUGGGAGAGCACCUCGGAGACAGCGUGGAACUGUUCAGAGAAGACUACCCGUCUGUUCUAGCGACCAGAGGGCACCUGGGUUAACUGCCCCCAAGAAAAAGGCCGGCACCCCAAGCCCUUCUGCUUUUUUUUUUAAGGUAUGCUUUUUGGUGAGGAAGAUUGGCCCUGAGCUGACAUCUGUUGCCAACCUUCCUCUCUCUUUUUUUUUUCCUCCCCAAAGCCCAGCACAUAGUUGUAUAUCCUAGGUGAAGUCAUUCUAUUUCUUCUAUGUGGGAUGCCGCCACAGCAUGGCUUGGUGAGGGGUGCUAGGUCCGCGCCCAGGAUCCGAAGUGGUAAGCACCUGGCCGCUGAAGCAGAGCACAGGAACUUAACCCCUUGGCCAUGGGGUGGCCUCGGCCCUUCUGCUUUGUUCAGCCAC
rnacentral:lncRNA from 1 species